rfam:Epulopiscium sp. SCG-B11WGA-EpuloA1 SCGB11WGA_57, whole genome shotgun sequence.
GUGGGGAUAGCUCAGUUGGUUAGAGCGCCAGAUUGUGGCUCUGGAGGUCGCGGGUUCGACUCCCGUUCUUCACC